ACGUCUGAAAUUUACGUCUUUAAGACGUCUUAAAGACGUUACGAAGCGAACGAUAUUUCGACGUCUGAAGUUUACGUCUUCGAAACGUCUUUAUAAAUGUUACGAAGUGAACGUUGUUUCGACAUCUCAAAUAUAUCUUUGAAGUUGUUUUUUUUUUAAUGUUUCAUAUGCUAUGCUCCUGCUAAAGUAGUAGUUAAACACAGAAAAGGUCGUACAGGAUACUAUUCUUGAACUAAAUGCAAUUUAUAUAAUGGAGACAGGAGAGUGGACGGUGUUACAAUUUGUUGACGAUGGUACCGUUGAAGCAGUGCCAUCAACAUGGAUAGACGGAGACAGAGUGAACAUUUAUAGAAAUGGCACUUUUGAUAAUUGUAUGAAGGCCAGAGGUAAGACAAAAACAAUAGAAGACACACAUCUGCAAUCGGAGAUUGAGUCAACGUUGCACAAAAGAAAAAGAAAACAAAACAUAUUGGCGAAAAGUGAUGGCUCAUGCGUGGAUGAAGAAUGUACUCUUCCAAAAAUAAAACAAGAGUGGGAGAUCGCUACUCCACAGAUCAUUGAUGAAGAAUCAUUGAAGAGAGAAAGAGAGGAAGAAAAUUAUAGUGAGCAGUGUAGUAUUGGAAAUCAAGCUGUAAAUACCUGCUGCAAAAGAUGCCUGGAGAGGGAUUCAACAUUAAAGACAAUAAUAGAGCAGAACCAUUUGAUACGGGGUCUUUUAACAGAUGUACUCAAGGAGUUACGGGAACUGAAAGACGACAAAAAGAAAGCAGAAGAUAGAAAAAAAUUCUUUUUGCAGAAGUUUCCACAGCUGCAAUUCCCCUUGCGCACAGAGAAGGAUAUUUCAACAUUUGAAAAUAUUUUAAACAACAGAGAAGAGUUUGAAGAUGGAGUUCAGGAAUUAUACAAGAUGGGGGGAGACAAUUGUUACCAGUUUGUAAAAAGGGUGCUAGCAACACUCAUAACCAAUGACUUGGCAUUACAGUAUAGUUGGAUGGGAAGAAAAGCAAAGAAAGCGUUUAACAAAUUAAACACGGCUAAUCUGAUAAUAUGUGCUGCAGAAAAGGCAAGAAUCGCUGCCAAUAGGAAAGACACUGAGAUGUCCAUUCAACAAUGGCUGAAAAGGGCGUCCGACAGAACCAACGUCUAUAGACGUAUUUAAGAUGCCCAAGUAAUAGCCUUUACUUAAGUUAAUAUAGUCUUUACUUAUACGUGUUUACACCUGUAUAACAAGAAGGACGAGCACACGAGACAUACAAUAUCGCCGCUAUAGGCACGCACACAUACAUGAAUGUCUGAAUGAUAAGGAGCAUUCAAAUCAUAAUGAUGAUGGGAUCUACUGCAUGCAAUCAGAGCAAAUAAAUAUCGACCCUCGCUGACGGAUUAAGCUGCGGCCUGGAGGUGUGCAGAAGUAGUUUACCACGCGGUUACCACUGGAACUAAUGUUCGAACAGUGUCGUGCAAUAUACAAGUGAAAAUCACCUUAAAGGACGACGAGACUCUAGAUCCUGUCGUCCUAAAUUUAUGGCAUCAGCAACCUGACACCUUAUUUGAUCGGCAAGUAGCAAGGCAUUGAUCCUGUACAAUAUGCAUGGUAAGCAAACUGCUUGUCUCCACAACGACGCCGGGAAAGGAUGAAUUGCACAUAAUUCGGAAACAAGGAUUUGCUUUUGUUCUAAAUUUUCUCGUUUCGCGCGUUUCGUCUCUUCGCUACUGGUAGGUAAGGCAACACCUUUUCGAUUCACAUAUCUGAAAUGAUAUUAUUAACUAAUAACAGUCUCUUGAUCUUGUAUAUAAAAAUAUAAUAUGUGUUCGUUGAAUAUUUACCGAGGCGUCAAGAAGUUUAAUCUAGCCGAUGUAUGAUCCACAUCCAAUAAUGGUUGAACUACAUUUUGUAUAUUGAUAUCGUACUUUUUCAGAUAAUAUUCUUCGAAUGUACUAUAACCUUCUCCAGGAAAAGUUGACUUGGGGUUUAAAUUUACACAGAUUUCAGCAACGUAGAAAUACUAAAAUGGAGAAACAUCUGUUAUACCUUUGGACAUAAUUUGGUUAGUAUUUGCAGCAUUACAUUCCCCCUCUUAUUCGCUGCCCCACUACCGCGGUCAUCGAUCGCUAUUGGCCGCAAACGGUGUAAGAGAGGGAAUGGAAACGCACAAGGUGCCUUUUUUGUCGCGUGAGGACUAUACAGAGAUAAGUAUAAUUCUACAAUUAAAAUUUCAAACGCGGACUAUAAUAAUAUUUUGUGAAACUAUGUUAUUUAAUGUUAUUUAAUUAUUCUAUUUCAUCAGAUAACUUUCUAGCCAGUUACCUGAGGUUGAUCCUGACUUCUAUACCAAGGCAUAAUCACUGCAUCAUGAUAUUGCGAUGCAUCGAACUUGAAGUCUUUACGAACCUCUUCCGGAAUCUUCGCUGGGACAGAAUUCCGACUGUUGUAUAUACACUCCAAGAAAUCCCAAUCUACUCUAACGUUUAAUUCCUCCUCUACAAAGUUAAAAAUACGACAUUGUAUAUUAUUAAGUGUAUAACGUAAGAUCAGCGAUUUCUAAGAAUGUUUAUAAUCACCUAGUCUUACAGGUACAAUCAUAUACGAAUUUUCAGACGUAUUAGGAUCAAAAAGCAUUAAAUAUUGUUGUAAUCUUAACACAUUUGUAAAGGUAUAAUUGAGGAAAGCAGAAACUUUCUCGAUCUGCGUGUCAUUUAAAACUACAGGUUUCUUGCUGAGUUUCAAUUUUACAUGAACUUCUCCAGAUCUGGUAUAGAUUGGAAAAGGGCAUAGCUGAAAAAAAAAGAAUUUGAUAUUAAUUAAUAAAAGAAGUAACAGCUGUACAAAAUGUAUUUUUCAUGUGUUAUUAAGUGUGUAAGAUAUUUCUAAAAUUGCCUCGAUUCAGGCUUAUCGAUAUAGACUGUUUAGUUUAAGAAAAGUACAGAUAUAGGAGGAGGAAAAAUAAUUUAACCCAAACCAAGUGUUGGGACACCCUAUAGACAUUGAAACCGGCGUCGCUCCUACUUUAUCGACUGCUGGACUUGACAGGCCAUGCGACGCGAUAAUAGGAACUAUCACACAAAGAUUCAUGCAUAUUAAUGUCUAGAUAGACAUUUAAUGUGUUAGUGUCGUCCCUACACGUUGCUUUCAAUGUAUAGCAUUAAAGUUUCCUCGUGAAGCUUGCAAACUAUUAAAUA